rnacentral:rRNA from 1 species
GGUUAAGCGACUAAGCGUACACGGUGGAUGCCCUGGCAGUCAGAGGCGAUGAAGGACGUGCUAAUCUGCGAUAAGCGUCGGUAAGGUGAUAUGAACCGUUAUAACCGGCGAUUUCCGAAUGGGGAAACCCAGUGUGUUUCGACACACUAUCAUUAACUGAAUCCAUAGGUUAAUGAGGCGAACCGGGGGAACUGAAACAUCUAAGUACCCCGAGGAAAAGAAAUCAACCGAGAUUCCCCCAGUAGCGGCGAGCGAACGGGGAGCAGCCCAGAGCCUGAAUCAGUGUGUGUGUUAGUGGAAGCGUCUGGAAAGGCGUGCGAUACAGGGUGACAGCCCCGUACACAAAAAUGCACAUGCUGUGAGCUCGAUGAGUAGGGCGGGACACGUGGUAUCCUGUCUGAAUAUGGGGGGACCAUCCUCCAAGGCUAAAUACUCCUGACUGACCGAUAGUGAACCAGUACCGUGAGGGAAAGGCGAAAAGAACCCCGGCGAGGGGAGUGAAAAAGAACCUGAAACCGUGUACGUACAAGCAGUGGGAGCACGCUUAGGCGUGUGACUGCGUACCUUUUGUAUAAUGGGUCAGCGACUUAUAUUCUGUAGCAAGGUUAACCGAAUAGGGGAGCCGAAGGGAAACCGAGUCUUAACUGGGCGUUAAGUUGCAGGGUAUAGACCCGAAACCCGGUGAUCUAGCCAUGGGCAGGUUGAAGGUUGGGUAACACUAACUGGAGGACCGAACCGACUAAUGUUGAAAAAUUAGCGGAUGACUUGUGGCUGGGGGUGAAAGGCCAAUCAAACCGGGAGAUAGCUGGUUCUCCCCGAAAGCUAUUUAGGUAGCGCCUCGUGAAUUCAUCUCCGGGGGUAGAGCACUGUUUCGGCAAGGGGGUCAUCCCGACUUACCAACCCGAUGCAAACUGCGAAUACCGGAGAAUGUUAUCACGGGAGACACACGGCGGGUGCUAACGUCCGUCGUGAAGAGGGAAACAACCCAGACCGCCAGCUAAGGUCCCAAAGUCAUGGUUAAGUGGGAAACGAUGUGGGAAGGCCCAGACAGCCAGGAUGUUGGCUUAGAAGCAGCCAUCAUUUAAAGAAAGCGUAAUAGCUCACUGGUCGAGUCGGCCUGCGCGGAAGAUGUAACGGGGCUAAACCAUGCACCGAAGCUGCGGCAGCGACACUAUGUGUUGUUGGGUAGGGGAGCGUUCUGUAAGCCUGUGAAGGUGUACUGUGAGGUAUGCUGGAGGUAUCAGAAGUGCGAAUGCUGACAUAAGUAACGAUAAAGCGGGUGAAAAGCCCGCUCGCCGGAAGACCAAGGGUUCCUGUCCAACGUUAAUCGGGGCAGGGUGAGUCGACCCCUAAGGCGAGGCCGAAAGGCGUAGUCGAUGGGAAACAGGUUAAUAUUCCUGUACUUGGUGUUACUGCGAAGGGGGGACGGAGAAGGCUAUGUUGGCCGGGCGACGGUUGUCCCGGUUUAAGCGUGUAGGCUGGUUUUCCAGGCAAAUCCGGAAAAUCAAGGCUGAGGCGUGAUGACGAGGCACUACGGUGCUGAAGCAACAAAUGCCCUGCUUCCAGGAAAAGCCUCUAAGCAUCAGGUAACAUCAAAUCGUACCCCAAACCGACACAGGUGGUCAGGUAGAGAAUACCAAGGCGCUUGAGAGAACUCGGGUGAAGGAACUAGGCAAAAUGGUGCCGUAACUUCGGGAGAAGGCACGCUGAUAUGUAGGUGAAGUCCCUCGCGGAUGGAGCUGAAAUCAGUCGAAGAUACCAGCUGGCUGCAACUGUUUAUUAAAAACACAGCACUGUGCAAACACGAAAGUGGACGUAUACGGUGUGACGCCUGCCCGGUGCCGGAAGGUUAAUUGAUGGGGUCAGCGCAAGCGAAGCUCUUGAUCGAAGCCCCGGUAAACGGCGGCCGUAACUAUAACGGUCCUAAGGUAGCGAAAUUCCUUGUCGGGUAAGUUCCGACCUGCACGAAUGGCGUAAUGAUGGCCAGGCUGUCUCCACCCGAGACUCAGUGAAAUUGAACUCGCUGUGAAGAUGCAGUGUACCCGCGGCAAGACGGAAAGACCCCGUGAACCUUUACUAUAGCUUGACACUGAACAUUGAGCCUUGAUGUGUAGGAUAGGUGGGAGGCUUUGAAGUGUGGACGCCAGUCUGCAUGGAGCCGACCUUGAAAUACCACCCUUUAAUGUUUGAUGUUCUAACGUUGACCCGUAAUCCGGGUUGCGGACAGUGUCUGGUGGGUAGUUUGACUGGGGCGGUCUCCUCCUAAAGAGUAACGGAGGAGCACGAAGGUUGGCUAAUCCUGGUCGGACAUCAGGAGGUUAGUGCAAUGGCAUAAGCCAGCUUGACUGCGAGCGUGACGGCGCGAGCAGGUGCGAAAGCAGGUCAUAGUGAUCCGGUGGUUCUGAAUGGAAGGGCCAUCGCUCAACGGAUAAAAGGUACUCCGGGGAUAACAGGCUGAUACCGCCCAAGAGUUCAUAUCGACGGCGGUGUUUGGCACCUCGAUGUCGGCUCAUCACAUCCUGGGGCUGAAGUAGGUCCCAAGGGUAUGGCUGUUCGCCAUUUAAAGUGGUACGCGAGCUGGGUUUAGAACGUCGUGAGACAGUUCGGUCCCUAUCUGCCGUGGGCGCUGGAGAACUGAGGGGGGCUGCUCCUAGUACGAGAGGACCGGAGUGGACGCAUCACUGGUGUUCGGGUUGUCAUGCCAAUGGCACUGCCCGGUAGCUAAAUGCGGAAGAGAUAAGUGCUGAAAGCAUCUAAGCACGAAACUUGCCCCGAGAUGAGUUCUCCCUGACUCCUUGAGAGUCCUGAAGGAACGUUGAAGACGACGACGUUGAUAGGCCGGAUGUGUAAGCGCAGCGAUGCGUUGAGCUAACCGGUACUAAUGAACCGUGAGGCUUAACCUU